GAGCCAUAGCUCAGUCGGUAGAGCAACGGACUGAAAAUCCGUGUGUCCCUGGUUCGAUUCCAGGUGGCUCC
rnacentral:tRNA from 1 species